GAUGAACGCUGGCGGCGUGCCUAAUACAUGCAAGUCGAGCGAACAGACGAGGAGCUUGCUCCUCUGACGUUAGCGGCGGACGGGUGAGUAACACGUGGAUAACCUACCUAUAAGACUGGGAUAACUUCGGGAAACCGGAGCUAAUACCGGAUAAUAUAUUGAACCGCAUGGUUCAAUAGUGAAAGACGGUUUUGCUGUCUCUUAUAGAUGGAUCCGCGCCGCAUUAGCUAGUUGGUAAGGUAACGGCUUACCAAGGCGACGAUGCGUAGCCGACCGGAGAGGGUGAUCGGCCACACUGGAACGGAGACACGGUCCAGACGCCUACGGGAGGCAGCAGUAGGGAAUCUUCCGCAAUGGGCGAAAGCCUGACGGAGCAACGCCGCGUGAGUGAUGAAGGUCUUCGGAUCGUAAAACUCUGUUAUUAGGGAAGAACAAAUGUGUAAGUAACUAUGCACGUCUUGACGGUACCUAAUCAGAAAGCCACGGCUAACUACGUG
rnacentral:rRNA from 1 species